AUUGAACGCUGGCGGCAGGCUUAACACAUGCAAGUCGAGCGGGGGAAGGUAGCCUGCUACCGGACCUAGCGGCGGACGGGUGAGUAAUGCUUAGGAAUCUGCCUAUUAGUGGGGGACAACAUCUCGAAAGGGAUGCUAAUACCGCAUACGUCCUACGGGAGAAAGCAGGGGAUCUUCGGACCUUGCGCUAAUAGAUGAGCCUAAGUCGGAUCAGCUAGUUGGUGGGGUAAAGGCCUACCAAGGCGACGAUCUGUAGCGGGUCUGAGAGGAUGAGCCGCCACACUGGGACUGAGACACGGCCCAGACUCCGACGGGGGGCAGCAGUGGGGAAUAUUGGACAAUGGGGGGAACCCUGAUCCAGCCAUGCCGCGUGUGUGAAGAAGGCCUUAUGGUUGUAAAGCACUUUAAGCGAGGAGGAGGCUACUUUAGUUAAUACCUAGAGAUAGUGGACGUUACUCGCAGAAUAAGCACCGGCUAACUCUGUGCCAGCAGCCGCCGUAA
rnacentral:rRNA from 1 species